GACAGAGGGGGCGAGCGUUGUCCGGAGUCACUGGGCGUAAAGCGCGCGCAGGCGGCAACCUAAGUGUCGUGUGAAAGCCCCCGGCUCAACCGGGGGAGGCCAUGGCAAACUGGGUCGCUCGAGCUGCGGAGAGGCCCCUCGAAUUGCCGGUGUAGCGGUGAAAUGCGUAGAGAUCGGCAGGAAGACCAAGGGGGAAGCCAGGGGGCUGGCCGCAGGCUGACGCUGAGGCGCGACAGCGUGGGGAGCAAACCGG
rnacentral:rRNA from 2 species